rnacentral:rRNA from 1 species
AGGAUGAACGCUGGCGGUCUGCUUAACACAUGCAAGUCGAACGGAGUACCUCGGUACUUAGUGGCGGACGGGUGAGUAACGCGUGAGAAUCUGCCCUUAGGUCGGGGACAACCAUUGGAAACGAUGGCUAAUACCGGAUAAGCCGAGAGGUAAAAGAUUAAUUGCCUAGGGAAGAGCUCGCGUCUGAUUAGCUAGUUGGUGAGGUAAAGGCUCACCAAGGCAUCGAUCAGUAGCUGGUCUGAGAGGAUGAUCAGCCACACUGGGACUGAGACACGGCCCAGACUCCUACCCGGGAGGCAGCAGUGGGGAAUUUUCCGCAAUGGGCGAAAGCCUGACGGAGCAAGACCGCGUGAGGGAGGAAGGCUCUUGGGUUGUAAACCUCUUUUCUUGGGAAGAACAAAUGACGGUACCCAAGGAAUCAGCAUCGGCUAACUCCGUGCCAGCAGCCGC